rnacentral:rRNA from 1 species
UACGUAGGGUGCGAGCGUUAAUCGGAAUUACUGGGCGUAAAGCGUGCGCAGGCGGUUCGUGAUGUCUGGUGUGAAAGCCCCGGGCUUAACCUGGGAAUUGCAUUGGAAACUAGCGGGCUGGAGUGUGGCAGAGGGGGGUGGAAUUCCACGUGUAGCAGUGAAAUGCGUAGAGAUGUGGAGGAAUACCGAUGGCGAAGGCAGCCCCCUGGGACAACACUGACGCUCAGGCACGAAAGCGUGGGGAGCAAACAGG